ACUCCUACGGGAGGCAGCAGUAAGGAAUAUUGCGCAAUGGGCGACAGCCUGACGCAGCGACGCCGCGUGGGGGAUGAAGGUCUUCGGAUUGUAAACCCCUUUCGGCAGGGAAGAUGGAACGGGCAACCGUUCGGACGGUACCUGCAGAAGCAGCCACGGCUAACUUCGUGCCAGCAGCCGCGGUAAUACGAAGGUGGCAAGCGUUGUUCGGAUUUACUGGGCGUACAGGGUGCGUAGGCGGUUCGGUAAGCCCUUCGUGAAAUCUCCAGGCUCAACCUGGAAAGUUCGGAGGGGACUGCCGGGCUAGAGGAUGGGAGAGGAGCGCGGAAUUCCCG
rnacentral:rRNA from 1 species